rnacentral:rRNA from 1 species
CAGUAGCCGCGGUAAUACAGAGGGUGCGAGCGUUAAUCGGAUUUACUGGGCGUAAAGCGUGCGUAGGCGGCUUUUUAAGUCGGAUGUGAAAUCCCUGAGCUUAACUUAGGAAUUGCAUUCGAUACUGGGAAGCUAGAGUAUGGGAGAGGAUGGUAGAAUUCCAGGUGUAGCGGUGAAAUGCGUAGAGAUCUGGAGGAAUACCGAUGGCGAAGGCAGCCAUCUGGCCUAAUACUGACGCUGAGGUACGAAAGCAUGGGGAGCAAACAGGAUUAGAUACCCGUGUAGUCCCUGUCUCUUAUAC